rnacentral:lncRNA from 1 species
UGUUCCUUACCAUAGACGCGUCUAGGCAACAGACCCAUCUGUAGUAAGAAAAAUACUUCAGACAUUUUUCAUGCCUACAGGUCUGUAGUCUGUAGCCUACAGGACAGCACUCAUAUACACAGAGAAUCACAAAUAUAUAUAUACACUGAUAUCAUAGAAAUAAUAUACGUAUACAAGAUCGAUCACAACUAUUCAUCACACACAUUACAC